UGGGUCAAAGCCAAGCUGGUGUUCCAUCAGUGCUUCCUCUUAACAGUGGUGGUCGUGACUAUUCAUCCCAGUUUACAGGUUCCUCCUCAACAUCUUAUCUUUCUAAUUACAAUAUGGAGACUGCAGUGGCUACUUUAGCAAUGCCUGCCAGCACUAGCCUAUCUGGGGUUUCUGGGAGACCCGGCUUGCAACAUAACUAUUCACCUUUCCGCUUUUCUGGGGAGAAUACAGCAGCCGUGAACAUGCAACAUGAUGGCGCUGAUACUCAGCCCAUAUUUAAUAGAAUCCAGUCUGAAAUUGCCACAUCACUGGCAGCUGCUGCUGCAGAGUUACCUUGUACAGUAAAGCUCAGGGUUUGGUCACAUGAUAUGCAAAAUCCUUGUGCCCCACUCAAUGGCGAAAGAUGUCGUUUAACCAUACCUCAUGCUGUCCUAUGUAGUGAGAUGGGUGCUCAUUUUUCACCUUGUGGAAGAUACUUAGCUGCCUGUGUUGCUUGCAUGCUUCCUAAUAUGGAAGCUGACCCUGGAUUACAAACUUUAGUUCAACAAGAUACUGGGGCUGCAACUUC
rnacentral:misc_RNA from 1 species